GCCUUUAAACCCAGCACUAGAGAAGAGUAUAAGGCGGGUGGGGACAGGAGUGCAGGGUAUUCAGUCUGCAGUCACUCUGAGGACAGGGUCGCCCCAGCCUUGGUAGAGGAAUGUCCUUAGGUACCUUAGACCACAGAUCUCUGCAAACACCCACAGAUCCCAUGGAAACAGCUCCAAGGAUGGGCAGCUCUGUAAGGAACACUACACACCCACCAGAUCCCAGAGGACUGCUGAGGGCAGUGUCUGCCUAGCGAGCAGUGCCUGAGCAAAUCAUCCUUUGGGAAGGCUCCGCCUCUCGGACCGCCUAGUAGCGCGUGCGCAGCGAGGUUGUCUCGGAGCCCCGCCCCUGCCCGAAGUCAGAACGCAGAGCCACGCCCCCACUGGUUUGUCAAGGACCAUUUUCAUGGCCACCUUAGCCACGUUUGAUAUUGAUAUAUCAUGAAAGGCUCAUUCCUGGCACAAAAGGUGGUGUCUGGCUUGUUUUCUGUUGCUGUGAUAAACACAUGACCAAAAGCAGCUAGGAUGGAAAGGGCUCACUUCACCUAGUCUGUUAUGCAGUGAAGUUGAGGCAGAUACUGAAGCAGAGCCCAAAGACAACCACUGCUUACUGGCUUGCAGAGUUUUCCAGAGUGGAGAUUUCCAGGGUGAGAAUUGAUGCGAUUUCAAGUCCUGAGCUUGGGGCGAGCCCGGGAAUUGGUGGAUUUUCAAGCUCAGGGGUUGGUGGGUUUUCAAAACCAGGAAGUGAACUUGGACCUUUUUACCCUGGGACUGCACAUGCUUUAACAGUUCAGAAGCAACCCUCAGGGGCCUGGGAAUUCUUAAGGAAUAUCUGUCUCUAUAGGAGGAUGUCCCUCUACUUUGGAAACUACCAAACAACAAACUCUGCUGGCUUGGACUGAGGCAAACUGAACCUGUAAAGUAAAAUGUUCAAGGGCACUUCCAGGUUUGAAAAGUUACCAGACCCCACCAAUCCCUGAGCAUGAAAUCCCACCAGUUCCUGACUUGGCUUGAAAUGUCACCAUCCCCACCCUGGGAAUCUCCAUCUUGGAAAACUUCUCUCCCAAGAAACCAUAUAUAGGCCUGUCUCCUCCUCAGUUCCUUGCUCACUCAAGGAGAGAAUUUCUUGUAUCUCUUCCAAUAAAUCUAUCGUGUGCGGUUAUUGUACAGUG